GGGUCCACUUCUCUGUAUUAGACAGUGACCUUAAUAAGAACAGAUUUCAUCCUGUGGAUCUUAGCAGAGGUCACCGUUGUCUGUUUCUCCCUUCAGAUGAACACUCUUCCUGAUCCUCUCCUCUAGAAUUCAUCUCCUCCUGCUAGCAGCCGCGUCCUGGAGGAGCAGCGGAUGGGGAAUCCAUUCUGUUUCUUCCUGGUGUUUAGGAAGUUGCCCCACACACAGAUUGCCCCGAUGUCCAACCAGAAGAAGUGAAACUGCUGCUGGGUCUGGAGAGGUGAAGACCCGUGGCCAGCUUCUGUUGUUGCCAUCGGCCAUUGCUUUUUGUUCGCUUGCUUUUGGUUUUGCAAGAAGAGCGGCCUCUGUCUCUGAUCUGCUUCAAAUCAUCAUUCCAUCAGUGACAGAAGUGGCUGUUCCAUCAGUGGUCGCAGCCAGUUCAGCUCCUGCAUCCAUCCCCAAGUGUUCUGAGUGGAAUUUGAGGCCUCCCCAACCACCUACCAAAAAAGGAGGGUGAAAUGAAAGGAAGAAGAAAAACUCAGCAUUCUUUCCUCUGACAAAGAGUAAAACGACAAGGAAUAUCGGCCUGAAUUCUCUUCCCAAGAAGAAAGAAAGCACACCAACGCAGGCAUUUGUCUUCUGUCCAUGGUGCUGAAGUUUAUUCACUUUCAAACCACUUUCAGUAACAGAUGACACAAAUGCAGCAGAGACCCCAGGGGACAGGAGCCUCUUGCAGUCUGUCCCUAGGCCCAGCCCUGCUUGUCCUCCCUGGCUGUUAUCUUCAGUACU
rnacentral:lncRNA from 1 species